UCUUGCCCACCCCCAGCCCACAGGCAAGGGGGGAAUGCUGGAGAGGCAGCAUUGCUGCAGUGCCAGCACUGCUCAGCCAGAGCCAAAACACUGGGAGGCACUUUAUUCUCAGGCACAAUUCUACUUACUCAAAGAUAACAGCAACAAGACACCUAAAUCCCCAAAAAAAGAGUUACUGCCUCCUUAUUGGAAAGACAAAGAUUCUUCCACCUCCUCUCCGUCUUUAAGGAGCCACCAGGAUUAAGGAGAAGAAGCUGACAAUAACCAGAGAACACCCUUUUUUUGAAAAGAAUUUAUGCAUCAUGUAUGAGAUAUAUGAACAUGCAACAAGCUACUGCUUUUAAGGGUUAAACCUUUGUUAGCGUGUGUGCUUUCGGGGCUUAAUUGCCCUAGGAAGGCACCUGGACUGUUCUUAUUUCUUUGGUUUUUAUUGUCCUAAUGCUGAUCGUCCAAAUUCUUA